CCUACGGGUGGCUGCAGUGAGGAAUAUUGGUCAAUGGGCGCGAGCCUGAACCAGCCAAGUAGCGUGAAGGAUGACUGCCCUACGGGUUGUAAACUUCUUUUAUAAAGGAAUAAAGUGAGGCUCGUGUGCCUGUUUGUAUGUACUUUAUGAAUAAGGAUCGGCUAACUCCGUGCCAGCAGCCGCGGUAAUACGGAGGAUCCGGGCGUUAUCCGGAUUUAUUGGGUUUAAAGGGUGCGUAGAUGGGUUGUUAAGUCAGUUGUGAAAGUUUGGGGCUCAACCGUAGAAGUGCAAUUGAUACUGGCAGCCUUGAGUACAGAUGGGGUAGGCGGAAUGCGUGGUGUAGCGGUGAAAUGCUUAGAUAUCACGAAGAACUCCGAUUGCGAAGGCAGCCUACU
rnacentral:rRNA from 1 species